rnacentral:rRNA from 1 species
CCUACGGGCGGCAGCAGUGAGGAAUAUUGCUCAAUGGCGGAAACCCUGAUGCAGCGACGCCGCGUGAGCGAUGACGUCUUUCCGUAUUGUAAGCUCUAUCAGCAGGGGAGAAAAUUACGGUACCUGACUAAGAAUCCCCGGCUCACUCCGUGCCAGCAGGCGGGGGACAUAGGAGGGGGCAAGCGUUAUCCGGAUUUACUGGGUGUAAAGGGGGCGUAGGGGGUCCUGCAAGGUCGGUGUUAAAGCCCGGGGGUCAACCCCGGGACUGCAGUUGCAACUGUAAGGCUAGAGUGUGGGAGUGGCAGGCGGAAUGCGUGGUGUAGCGGUGAAAUGCGUAGAUAUUACGAAGAACGCCGGUGGCGAAGGCAGCCUGCUGGAGGGUGACUGACGUUGAGGCUCGAAAGCGUGGGGAGCAAACAGGAUUAGAUACCCUUGUAGUC